GCUUGGGUAGCUCAGUUAGUUAGAGCGCUGCUCUGAAGAAGCAGAGGUCCCCGGCGCACUUCCGGGCCCAAGCACCC
rnacentral:tRNA from 2 species